CAGUAGUUAGUUGCGCAGAUUUCUGUUUUGUACUUUUGUUUGCCGCACGUUUCAGGGAAAUGUGUAAUAUCAUUGUGAGCAUUAGAGCUUUCUUCAGCUUUAAAUCGACGAUUCACGACUCAGGCACUGAAGAUUAGUGUUAGCUAGGAUGCUGGCCGUCAGAACAUGUAUUGUCGUCAGAACAUGCUCUGAUCUGUCUAUGAAGUUGGACACAAAACGGCAUGGCAGUUGCGCGUCACAGGUGUUACUUGCACAUUAGUAGAAGACGAUGGUGUUAUCUUGGGUCAAUAUGCAUUUAAAUAAAUCAUACUGUCCCAAAGAAAUACACCAAGUUACAGAAUAGGCUAUCGGUGAUAGAUCGACAAAACUAUGCCUCUGACUCCCUCCUCUGGACAUUUACGCAGUACGACAGUUUAGCUCCACAUGUAAGUCGUGCGUAAAAGUAUUAGCCUACCGAUUGGUCUUUGAUCAAAUGGUGUUGUGAAUAAACUUUUACGCAUAUGUUGUCACUGUUCUUGAGAAACAAACAAAAAUGAUGGUAACAUGAUGAAGAGGGCUUUGACAUUAAGUUUAUUUUCACCUUCAGAAGGAGAGCUCGUUGUGACGCAAUAUGGUACAUAGAGGUACAGGAGACUCAGAAGAUGAGCAAUUAGACUACUAAACACGGAAGUGGAUUGCAUCAGGCACCUGCAUUUCUGAAAUGUCAUUGGAGAUAUGUUUCUUUGUUCCGAACAUAAUUGGCUACAUUCGGAUAGUCCUGGUCCUCGGUGCUUGGUGUGCUUUCAAUAAUCAUGCACUUUUCCUUCCUGCCUAUGUCACCUCCAUCGUAUUAGAUGGCAUUGAUGGCUGGGUUGCACGGAGGCUCAACCAAACUUCCAGGUUUGGGGCCUGGUUAGAUGUCAUAAUUGACAACAUGGGUCGGAGCAUGGUGUGGAAUAUGCUGUUCCAAUGGGGCUGGCUAAUUUCAACUCUGGAGUGGUGUGUGUUUGUCUGUAACCACAGUGCUUUUGGUGUUCAGUGGAAGAGUAGCUUUAAGGAGAGUCCAUAUUGGGUGAACGCUAUCAUGGCCAAAGGUUUUAAGACACCGCUGGGAGUGUUCACGAUUGCUGGCCUGCACAUCUUGCCGGUGUGGCUGUAUGGAUGCGAGACUGGGGUUCUUACCAACACAUUUUACAUCCCAGAAUGGUCCCAGGGCUUGGUGCUUCUGCUUUUGAUUGCAGGGAGACUGCUGUGUAUGUCUGUGGAGAUGUGGUGCAUUUGGACCCAUGUGCUCUACCUCACCGACAUCAAGGAAACCAAACGCGACUGACAGACUGGGAAGGUUACUGCUCCUCAGCCAGCAGGCCAGUGCACAUACUGUACGUCUUCCCUCACUUUUACUGGCACUCCUGGUAAAGAGGAAUAAGAAGAGGUGUAAAAAAUCAAUUAGAGCAGUGGUUCUCAAACUGUGGUAGAGGUACCACUGGUGUUACACGGACUCUCUGUUGUGGUACUCCGGGAGGUGGUACUCAUUGUAAGAAGUUUGACAACCACUGAAUUAGAUGAUUAUGUGAAUGGGAUUAAGGGACUCUCUUAACUGACAGGGAAGUAUCUUUUUAUAAGAUUCAAGGGAUAAAUAAGGUUUCAAGCCCGGCCAAAGUUACAGAAAGGGAAAUGUUGAGGAUAUGUUUAAGUGCUGGAAAAUGAAUAUGAUUACUUUGUAGCUAAUGCAUUAGUCAUGCACUUGAAACGACAUGCUACAUUUUCAAGAGCUUUGUACUGACGUGUUAUUUAUGUAUACACUAUUUAUUUUACGGUCACAGGGUUUUGAAUUGUGUCAGGGUAUUUUUUAUAUGUAUGUCUUUAUAGUAUCAUUUGCCUCUCCACAGGGGCAUUAAUAUUUGAAAUUAAAAGUGCAGUCAGGGAUUUUACAUGAUUUCAAGCCCAUACAAUUUUUGGUCAUUCAGCAAUCAUCUCAGUUGCCCACUGCGCAAGUGCACUGUUAAAAAAAGAAAACACCCGGUCUCUGUAGGCAGCCCAGGCUUCCAAACCCUGUGUGGAAUUUCUCUGGGAAUACUGAAGGUAGGGGUGAGUUACCUUUCUGGUUUUAGCCUGGGUGUUCCCAUGCUGCCUUGCGCACGAUUUGAUUCGCACUGCUAAGGCAGCCUACCGCCCUAUUUUUUGCCUCAGAUAGGGGACCUAUCACAGAACAGGGGGAAAGCAAGACGAUGACGCUACUGUAUGCAUAGACGCAUUUGGUAGACAUCUGAGGCGCCCGGAUAAACGGAUCUGGACAUUUUGUAAAAUAUGAGAAAGUGAACGUUUGGUUGCCAGACCAUAUCUCAUUGAGAAGUGGUGGCACUAGCCAGGCUAUCUCUGUUUGGUCCUUGGUUCAAAUAAAAUUAUGUUUUUUUUGUGUUAAACAAAAGCGUAAAAAAAUCAAUAAUACAUUUACAUACAAACAUAAACACAAACAAACUUGACUUCAAUGCACACAAUGCCUGACUGCACCUUUAAGAGUCAAUCAUAAUCAGGUUAUCUUUGUAUUGUUUUCUAAAUCAUAUGCAUAUUCCACCAAACUGUCUCUACAUUGCUUCAUCCAAACUCUUGUCUUGGUCUGUUUGCUUUUAUUUAUUCUUCAGACAUUGAGGCAAAGUGUAUGUUUUGGUCACUUAAGUGACCUUUCUCCACUAGACAUCUGUUAUUACUUAAACAAGUGACAGAUAGUGUUUUUAUUGCAGGAUAUUCUGAGAUAUUACACUUAAAGAAUGCUGACCGCUAUUUACUUUUGACACUGCCAACACCAUUUAACUGUUAACACGACACAAUUAAAAACCUCUCUUCAGAAAAAUGGUUCAAAACAGUGGACAAGCACAUUCAGUGCACUUUGAGUAGUGCGCCCUCUAGCAGUGGUGUUCAGAAGCAUUCUGCCGUGAUCUAUUUGUUCACGGCAGAUGUUAUCAGGUAUUCCCAACACUACAAGGCCUGUCCAUCCUUUUACAACAAAAUGGAGUUUGGCAAUACGCCAUGCCUGUUACCUUAGGAGC